UUUUCUAAAAUUUUCAUUUCCCUCGUUGCCUCCCCCCUUUCUUUUUCAUUUCCCCCUGUUUCCAAUUUUUUCCAUUACCCUCUAUUUGCCAAAUUUUCAACUGCAUCCAUUAAACCCUAAUUACACACAGAUAUGUCACAUAUUCAACCUACUUUCUCUCCCAAGGAUUUUAGCUUCGUUUUACAAUAGACACAUCCACUCCAGCUUCUUCUCCGACCGAUUUUAGCACCCUAGCUUCGUCGAUCAAGGUUUGGUGAGAUAUAACUGAGUUCUUAUGAGUAAGUAAACUUCUUAUUUUCUCCUAAACCUAGUUUGUUACCAACGAAAUAAGGUUGAUGACUACUUCUAUGUUUCCUGUCUAGCUUUAGUUUUAUUUUUCUGAUUAAAUAACUUGAUUCUAUGGAAACUAUUCAUGGCAGGUAAGUGAUUUAUUGUUGUAUGUUGUUUAUCAGCACUUCAAAAUAUCUUGAAGAUGAUAACCAUAUUGUUAUUUCUGCUUAACUUUAUUCCAGUUUGGAAAUAAAAGCCACCCUGAAAGUACAUGAUUCUUACCAUAUGAACAAUUCCUCGUUUCUUGAUGUGUUAAUGGGUUUAUUGAGGGUGAGAAGAUGGCGAAAUGAAUAUAGAUCAAAUGGGUUAUUCCAAGCUCCGUUAAUCAAGAUUCGUCGGCAUCAUAACUUUGGGUUAUUGGAUUGGACGAGGUGGCAACACGUUUAGACUUGUUAAACCAUUAAUCAAUAUUUAUUGGAUUGAAAUGGGUUCUUCCAAGCUCUACUAAUCAAGAAUUAUGUUUUGCGUAUUAUUAGGACACCGUUUAAACUUACUAAGCCUCUUGGAAGAUAAUAUUGUGUUGAAUAAUCAGAUUAUUGUUGUAAAACGAGUUAAUUUUUAAUUGAAGUAAUAUUUUUGUGUUUUUC